GUUGAAAUCAAGGAAGCAGGUGGUACUACUACAAGUAAUAAUCCGGAAGAAGCAACUUUGCAGAAUCUUCUUGCUCAGGAAUCCUGUUGCAAGUUCCCAUCGUCCCAGGAACUAGAGGAUGCCUCCUGCUGUUCUCUUAAGAAAGAUUCCAACCCAAUGGUGAUAUGCCAAUUGAAAGGGGGCACACAAAUGCUAUGUAUAGACAAUUCUAGAACAAGAGAACUAAAAGCACUCCAUUUGGUUCCUCAGUAUCAAGAUCAAAAUAAUUAUCUACAGUCAGGUACAAAGUUAAUUAAUAAAAAAAACUAUGUCAUAUAUGUAAGUUGGUAAAUGAAUAUGUUUGGCUUUGUAUAUAAAGUGAAAUGGCAACCAGGAUAUUAAAUAGGAAAUUUGGCAAA
rnacentral:lncRNA from 1 species